ACACAACAUCUAAAGCACAUACAUACACAAUUUAUCACAUACACUCGAUCUCAAUCACAAUGGUAUAAUCUCAAAAUAACAUGUUAAUACAUCUCAUGAAUCAUAUUCACUUUACCUAUGAACUAUGCAAUAUACACAACUACUCAAUUGUUUUCAAAAUCAUUUUAACUCGUCGGGUUCCCACAAUGGAUCCCAUCACAAUACUC
rnacentral:lncRNA from 1 species